rnacentral:rRNA from 1 species
AGUGAACGCUGGCGGCAGGCCUAAUACAUGCAAGUCGAACGGCAGCACAGCAGAGCUUGCUCUGUGGGUGGCGAGUGGCGGACGGGUGAGGAAUACAUGGGAAUCUGCCCAGUCGUGGGGGAUAACGUAGGGAAACUUACGCUAAUACCGCAUGCGCCCUUCGGGGGAAAGCCGGGGACCUUCGGGCCUGGCGCGAUUGGAUGAGCCCAUGUCGGAUUAGCUAGUUGGCGGGGUAAAGGCCCACCAAGGCGACGAUCCGUAGCUGGUCUGAGAGGAUGAUCAGCCACACUGGAACUGAGACACGGUCCAGACUCCUACGGGAGGCAGCAGUAGGGAAUAUUGGACAAUGGGCGCAAGCCUGAUCCAGCCAUGCCGCGUGAGUGAAGAAGGCCCUCGGGUUGUAAAGCUCUUUUGUCCGGAAAGAAAAGCGCCGGGUUAAUACCCUGGUGUCCUGACGGUACCGGAAGAAUAAGCACCGGCUAACUUCGUGCCAGCAGCCGCCGUAAUAC